UUAAAUUGAAGAGUUUGAUCAUGGCUCAGAUUGAACGCUGGCGGCAGGCCUAACACAUGCAAGUCGAACGGUAACAGGAAGCAGCUUGCUGCUUUGCUGACGAGUGGCGGACGGGUGAGUAAUGUCUGGGAAACUGCCUGAUGGAGGGGGAUAACUACUGGAAACGGUAGCUAAUACCGCAUAACGUCGCAAGACCAAAGANGGGGGACCUUAGGGCCUC
rnacentral:rRNA from 1 species